rnacentral:rRNA from 1 species
GGUUAAGCGACUAAGCGUACACGGUGGAUGCCCUGGCAGUCAGAGGCGAUGAAGGACGUGCUAAUCUGCGAAAAGCGUCGGUAAGGUGAUAUGAACCGUUAUAACCGGCGAUGUCCGAAUGGGGAAACCCAGUGCAAUUCGUUGCACUAUCGUUAACUGAAUACAUAGGUUAACGAGGCGAACCGGGGGAACUGAAACAUCUAAGUACCCCGAGGAAAAGAAAUCAACCGAGAUUCCCCCAGUAGCGGCGAGCGAACGGGGAGCAGCCCAGAGUCUGAAUCAGCUUGUGUGUUAGUGGAACGGUCUGGAAAGUCCGACGGUACAGGGUGAUAGUCCCGUACACCAAAAUGCACAGGCUGUGAACUCGAAGAGUAGGGCGGGACACGUGGUAUCCUGUCUGAAUAUGGGGGGACCAUCCUCCAAGGCUAAAUACUCCUGACUGACCGAUAGUGAACCAGUACCGUGAGGGAAAGGCGAAAAGAACCCCGGCGAGGGGAGUGAAAAAGAACCUGAAACCGUGUACGUACAAGCAGUGGGAGCACCUUCGGGUGUGACUGCGUACCUUUUGUAUAAUGGGUCAGCGACUUAUAUUCUGUAGCAAGGUUAACCGUAUAGGGGAGCCGCAGGGAAACCGAGUCUUAACUGGGCGUUAAGUUGCAGGGUAUAGACCCGAAACCCGGUGAUCUAGCCAUGGGCAGGUUGAAGGUUGGGUAACACUAACUGGAGGACCGAACCGACUAAUGUUGAAAAAUUAGCGGAUGACUUGUGGCUGGGGGUGAAAGGCCAAUCAAACCGGGAGAUAGCUGGUUCUCCCCGAAAGCUAUUUAGGUAGCGCCUCGUGAACUCAUCUUCGGGGGUAGAGCACUGUUUCGGCUAGGGGGUCAUCCCGACUUACCAACCCGAUGCAAACUACGAAUACCGAAGAAUGUUAUCACGGGAGACACACGGCGGGUGCUAACGUCCGUCGUGAAGAGGGAAACAACCCAGACCGCCAGCUAAGGUCCCAAAGUCAUGGUUAAGUGGGAAACGAUGUGGGAAGGCACAGACAGCCAGGAUGUUGGCUUAGAAGCAGCCAUCAUUUAAAGAAAGCGUAAUAGCUCACUGGUCGAGUCGGCCUGCGCGGAAGAUGUAACGGGGCUAAACCAUGCACCGAAGCUGCGGCAGCGACACUAUGUGUUGUUGGGUAGGGGAGCGUUCUGUAAGCCUGCGAAGGUGACCUGUGAGGGUUGCUGGAGGUAUCAGAAGUGCGAAUGCUGACAUAAGUAACGAUAAAGCGGGUGAAAAGCCCGCUCGCCGGAAGACCAAGGGUUCCUGUCCAACGUUAAUCGGGGCAGGGUGAGUCGACCCCUAAGGCGAGGCCGAAAGGCGUAGUCGAUGGGAAACAGGUUAAUAUUCCUGUACUUGGUGUUACUGCGAAGGGGGGACGGAGAAGGCUAUGUUAGCCGGGCGACGGUUGUCCCGGUUUAAGCAUGUAGGCUGGUUAUCCAGGCAAAUCCGGAUAAUCAAGGCUGAGGUGUGAUGACGAGGCACUACGGUGCUGAAGUAACAAAUGCCCUGCUUCCAGGAAAAGCCUCUAAGCAUCAGGUAACAUCAAAUCGUACCCCAAACCGACACAGGUGGUCAGGUAGAGAAUACCAAGGCGCUUGAGAGAACUCGGGUGAAGGAACUAGGCAAAAUGGUGCCGUAACUUCGGGAGAAGGCACGCUGGUGUGUAGGUGAAGCCCCUGCGGGUGGAGCUGAGACCAGUCGAAGAUACCAGCUGGCUGCAACUGUUUAUUAAAAACACAGCACUGUGCAAACACGAAAGUGGACGUAUACGGUGUGACGCCUGCCCGGUGCCGGAAGGUUAAUUGAUGGGGUUAUCCGUAAGGAGAAGCUCUUGAUCGAAGCCCCGGUAAACGGCGGCCGUAACUAUAACGGUCCUAAGGUAGCGAAAUUCCUUGUCGGGUAAGUUCCGACCUGCACGAAUGGCGUAAUGAUGGCCAGGCUGUCUCCACCCGAGACUCAGUGAAAUUGAACUCGCUGUGAAGAUGCAGUGUACCCGCGGCAAGACGGAAAGACCCCGUGAACCUUUACUAUAGCUUGACACUGAACAUUGAGCCUUGAUGUGUAGGAUAGGUGGGAGGCUUUGAAGCGUGGACGCCAGUCUGCGUGGAGCCAACCUUGAAAUACCACCCUUUAAUGUUUGAUGUUCUAACGUUGGCCCCUGACCGGGGUUGCGGACAGUGUCUGGUGGGUAGUUUGACUGGGGCGGUCUCCUCCCAAAGCGUAACGGAGGAGCACGAAGGUUAGCUAAUCCUGGUCGGACAUCAGGAGGUUAGUGCAAUGGCAUAAGCUAGCUUGACUGCGAGCGUGACGGCGCGAGCAGGUGCGAAAGCAGGUCAUAGUGAUCCGGUGGUUCUGAAUGGAAGGGCCAUCGCUCAACGGAUAAAAGGUACUCCGGGGAUAACAGGCUGAUACCGCCCAAGAGUUCAUAUCGACGGCGGUGUUUGGCACCUCGAUGUCGGCUCAUCACAUCCUGGGGCUGAAGUAGGUCCCAAGGGUAUGGCUGUUCGCCAUUUAAAGUGGUACGCGAGCUGGGUUUAGAACGUCGUGAGACAGUUCGGUCCCUAUCUGCCGUGGGCGCUGGAGAAUUGAGGGGGGCUGCUCCUAGUACGAGAGGACCGGAGUGGACGCAUCACUGGUGUUCGGGUUGUCAUGCCAAUGGCACUGCCCGGUAGCUAAAUGCGGAAGAGAUAAGUGCUGAAAGCAUCUAAGCACGAAACUUGCCCCGAGAUGAGUUCUCCCUGAGACUUUAAGUCUCCUGAAGGAACGUUAAAGACGAUGACGUUGAUAGGCCGGGUGUGUAAGCGCAGCGAUGCGUUGAGCUAACCGGUACUAAUGAACCGUGAGGCUUAACCUU